ACCUGAAUAAGUAGGGAUGAAGCAGAAGGCAGAUGUUUAAAAGAUAAAAUGAUUACAGUGAGGGGGGGGGGUCUGUGCCUGGUUCCAAUAUCAGGUCAACACUUACCGUUUGUGACAUUUCCCACAGCGAGGAAGGUGACGAAGGUGGUGACGUGACUGGUCCUGGUUGUUGCAUUAACCGCUGGCAGCAUGAAUUUACACUGUAUGAUAGUCCCAUUGACUGAGCCAGUGAUGUUUUUCACAAUCUGGGAACAAGAAAAAGUGUUACAUUUGCCUACAGUCAAUAACCAACCUCAAAUAGUGUCAAUUGAUUAGAUGAAAGCCUCUUCACCCUUUGUGUCAGAGAAAUUGUGUUGUUGAGGUUGUUGCGCUGGGCAGAGAGGAAGAAGAAACUGCCAUUUCUGUUCUGGGCACAGAUAAAAACCAUAGACGUUCCCUAUUCAUAGAAGAGAGGGAGAGCAUGGGUUACAGACAAUCAUUACCUCUACUACAACAACAAUUUAAUGUCCAAAGAAAGGUCCCUUAAUGUCUUGUCUUUGGGAAGAAGUCCAAAAAGUAAUAAUUAUGUGGUUAUGGGUUAUGUGUUCACCUUGUUUUUCUGGUUGUGUGUGUGCGCAUGUGUUACCUCUGUCUCGUUGGCAGUCAGUCCUAGAGCAAUGUAUCCACUGGAGUCCCCAAGGAGCUCAACUAACAGGUCUACUCCAUUAGGAGGAGAGGGGGCGGUGGUGACGAUGGAAGCGAAGAGGCAGCUUGUUUUUCCUGUAGGAUCACAUUGUUCUGGGGUCUCUACACACAGCUUAGUCAAUCCACAGCCUGUCCGUGUGAUAUUCACCUGUCAAACCACACACAGCAAAUCUAGUUCAGGUUAUGCACACACACAAGUUAAUUUCAAUAUCUAAAUUUGUGGGCUGUUGACUCAUUGACAUCAUACCAAUGACUUCUAAAAUCAUCGGCCUAACUUUGAUUUGGGAGUGAACUAUGACUUUAAGUUAGGAUCUGGGGCCCGAUUCACAAUUUUCUUAAGAAGAAAUUUCUUAACUGACCAUUUUUCAUAACUAUAGACUUAAGAAAGUUAAGCAAAGUUGCUAUUCCUCAAUAAACUUAUUGGACAUGUUCUUAAGGUUUUUCCUAAGUUUCUUCCUAUGAAGAAAGUUAUGAAAUGGGAUUUUUGAAAAUAUUGCUUUAGGAUUUCUUAUUUGAAAUGUACUGAACUUUAGGACAGCUAAACCCUGGUCUUGAGACGACUAGAUAAUUUUGUAAACAUGAACGUUCUCUUGCACCAGAUACAGCUGGCAACCGGGUAUUUAAAUACAGAAAGAAAACAAAUUAAAACGUGCAUUAUCUAGCUAACUAGUAAUUAACAAUAUAUUACAAUAUUCUAAGUGUUAAAUAGCUAGCGUUAUUUCGUCAAUUUGCAAAGAACUUGGCUAAGUUAGCUAUGUUGUUGGCUAUAAUGUCGGGACGCUUGGCUAGCGAAGGUAGCUAGCUACCUAGUUUACCGGCUGCGCAGUCCCUCUACCACCUUCUCUUCCAGCUGGUCCACAUUAAUGGUCUCUCAGCUCCCUUCUUCUUAGCAGCGGACUUGAUGUCGGACCACUUCUUUUUUAAGGCGUCCUUUGCCAUAACCCCGACAGCAUUGAGAGACUCGGCCACUCGCCCAUCCUCUCUCUUUUUUGUCUGCAUUGACCCCGCAGUUAUCAAGUCUCCCCAACAGCAACCUUUUCCUGGCUGCUAUUUCCUCCACCAUCACUUCAAGCUCGUUUGCUGACAUUUUUAUUUUGAUGUACAGCAGUUAACGCUAGUCUUCCUAUAAUGUGUGAAAAAUCACGUUUUUUUGUAUGCGUGUAUAAAAAGGGUUCGCGAGCUGGAGAUAUAAAGCAAAAAAAAAGUUAUAAAAAUGUAAACAUCAACACUUAUAGUGGGCCAAAUCCUAUCAUUCAUUACACAUAGGCUUAUUUAUUAGUUUCAAGCACGUCACUAAUGUCAAUGCCACAUAAGACGAUAUUUACGAAGUUCUUAAGAAAUAUAUUUACGAAGUUUCUAAGAAAACGACGAAUUCCCAAGAACAUUGAGGAAUCGCAUUUACGAACUUUCUUAUGAACUUCUUUUUUCUUUUUCAGCAGCUUCUUAAUUUUUUUCGUAAGUAAUGUUUUGUGAAUCCGGCCCCUGGUCCAUAAACGUGUUGCUGGAAAGAGUAGAUUGAGAACCUUACCUCCGUAUUAUUGGCAAACGAGAGAUGUCCGUUUCCACUAACACCUGGUGCCAGGCAGCCCAUCACCAUAGAGGCCACAAAGAGAAGUCCUCUGUCCAUUCCUACAUGGGAACAUGGUAAAUGGUGGAGAAAAUAGAACAAUUAUCAGAAAUAAAAUGUUUUACAUAACUUUAAAAACACUCAUUGUUAUCUUUUCUGAUAGUAGAGAAAUACAUUUGUCAUAUUUUAAGAAGCCAUCAACCAAAUGUUUUAAAUCUAAAUGCAGAGUAUUCUUAAAUACAAAUACAAGACUUACUUGGUCCUGUACUUAGUAAGCUUAUCCUUUAGUCAAUACACUAAUACUUUCUAAAUUCUGUAAUAUGUUUUUUACUCCUUAUCUACAUGUUCCUGUGGAAGGAGGCAGGGCGUGGAUUACCGGUAAAGCUAAGUCCCCUGCUGUUCCCUGAUUUUAAGAGGUGAUGACCAGUCCACUCUACUACCAUUGUCAACGCUGUCCUGACAUGAACUGAAGCCACGUCUCAUGUGCCCGCUCAUCCACUGGACCGUUGCAUGUUUCCUCUCCAAGCACUGCAAAUCCUGCAUUGAAGUCAAGCCUAUGAACACCUCAACUCAUGCCUCAUACACUCAUUCAACUGUGUAGCUAGCCCUCUCAUUCCCAAUCCCCAUAAUAUUGUAUUAUACAUAUCUUUAUUAAAUGCUUUAGGUUAAAAUAA